GAUGAACGCUGGCGGCGUGCCUAAUACAUGCAAGUCGAGCGAAGCGGGGCCGGGUGAGUAACACGUGGAUAACCUCCUAUAAGACUGGGAUAACUUCGGGAAACCGGAGCUAAACCGGAUACUUAUAGAUGGAUCCGCGCCGCAUUAUCUAGUUGGUAAGGUAACGGCUUACCAAGGCAACGAGGCAUAGCCGACCUGAUAGGAUGAUCGGCAACAAUAGAACUGAAACACAGUACAGACUCAGACGGGAGGCAGCAGUAGGGAAUCUUCCGCAAAGGGCGAAAGCCUGACGGAGCAACGCGAAGUGAGGGAUGAAGGUCUUCGGAUCGGAAAACUCUGUUAUUAUGGAAGCGGUACCUAAUCAGAAAGCCACGGAUAACUACGUGCAGGCAGCCGCGGUAUUUC
rnacentral:rRNA from 1 species